CUUGCUGGGUGGAUUAGUGGCGAACGGGUGAGUAACACGUGAGUAACCUGCCCUUGACUUCGGGAUAACUCCGGGAAACCGGGGCUAAUACUGGAUAUGAGCCGUCCUCGCAUGGGGGUGGUUGGAAAGUUUUUCGGUCAGGGAUGGGCUCGCGGCCUAUCAGCUUGUUGGUGGGGUGAUGGCCUACCAAGGCGACGACGGGUAGCCGGCCUGAGAGGGCGACCGGCCACACUGGGACUGAGACACGGCCCAGACUCCUACGGGAGGCAGCAGUGGGGAAUAUUGCACAAUGGGCGCAAGCCUGAUGCAGCGACGCCGCGUGAGGGAUGAAGGCCUUCGGGUUGUAAACCUCUUUCAGCAGGGAAGAAGCGCAAGUGACGGUACCUGCAGAAGAAGCGCCGGCUAACUACGUGCCAGCAGCCGCGGUAAUACGUAGGGCGCAAGCGUUGUCCGGAAUUAUUGGGCGUAAAGAGCUCGUAGGCGGUUUGUCGCGUCUGGUGUGAAAACUCGAGGCUCAACCUCGAGCUUGCAUCGGGUACGGGCAGACUAGAGUGCGGUAGGGGAGACUGGAAUUCCUGGUGUAGCGGUGGAAUGCGCAGAUAUCAGGAGGAACACCGAUGGCGAAGGCAGGUCUCUGGGCCGCAACUGACGCUGAGGAGCG
rnacentral:rRNA from 1 species